rnacentral:piRNA from 1 species
ACCAAGAGGCAGAAGUAUGAGAGG